AGAGUUUGAUCCUGGCUCAGGAUGAACGCUAGCGGCAGGCCUAAUACAUGCAAGUCGAGGGGCAGCACAGGUAGCAAUACUGGGUGGCGACCGGCAAACGGGUGCGGAACACGUACGCAACCUUCCUUUGAGCGGGGAAUAGCCCAUAGAAAUGUGGAUUAAUACCCCGUAAUAUCGUUGUCAGGCAUCUGAUGGCGAUUAAAGCUCCGGCACUCGAAGAUGGGCGUGCGUCUGAUUAGGUAGUUGGUGAGGUAACGGCUCACCAAGCCGACGAUCAGUAACUGGCGUGAGAGCGCGACCAGUCACACGGGCACUGAGACACGGGCCCGACUCCUACGGGAGGCAGCAGUAAGGAAUAUUGGUCAAUGGACGCAAGUCUGAACCAGCCAUGCCGCGUGGAGGAUGAAGGUCCUCUGGAUUGUAAACUUCUUUUAUCUGGGAAGAAAUGUCGGUUUUCUAACUGGCUUGACGGUACCAGAUGAAUAAGCACCGGCUAACUCCGUGCCAGCAGCCGCGGUAAUACGGAGGGGGCUAGCGUUGCUCGGAAUGACUGGGCGUAAAGGGCGCGUAGGCGGAAUGUACAGUCAGACGUGAAAUUCCCGGGCUCAACCUGGGGGCUGCGUUUGAUACGUGCAUUCUUGAGUAUGGAAGAGGGUCGUGGAAUUCCCAGUGUAGAGGUGAAAUUCGUAGAUAUUGGGAAGAACACCGGUGGCGAAGGCGGCGACCUGGUCCAUUACUGACGCUGAGGCGCGAAAGCGUGGGGAGCAAACAGGAUUGGAUACCCUGGUAGUCCACGCCGUAAACGAUGUGUGCUGGAUGUUGGGUGACCUAGUCACUCAGUGUCGUAGCUAACGCGAUAAGCACACCGCCUGGGGAGUACGGCCGCAAGGUUGAAACUCAAAGGAAUUGACGGGGGCCCGCACAAGCGGUGGAGCAUGUGGUUUAAUUCGACGCAACGCGCAGAACCUUACCAGGACUUGACAUGGGCAGGACGCGUCCAGAGAUGGGCGUUCCCGCAAGGGCCUGCUGCACAGGUGCUGCAUGGCUGUCGUCAGCUCGUGUCGUGAGAUGUUGGGUUAAGUCCCGCAACGAGCGCAACCCUCGCCUUCAGUUGCCAUCACGUUUGGGUGGGCACUCUGAAGGAACUGCCGGUGACAAGCCGGAGGAAGGUGGGGAUGACGUCAAGUCCUCAUGGCCCUUAUGUCCUGGGCUACACACGUGCUACAAUGGCGGUGACAGUGGGAAGCCAGGCAGCGAUGCCGAGCCGAUCUCUAAAAGCCGUCUCAGUUCGGAUUGCACUCUGCAACUCGGGUGCAUGAAGGUGGAAUCGCUAGUAAUCGCGGAUCAGCAUGCCGCGGUGAAUACGUUCCCGGGCCUUGUACACACCGCCCGUCACACCAUGGGAGUUGGUUUGACCUUAAGCCGGUGCGCGAACCCAGCAAUGGGACGCAGCCGACCACGGUCGGGUCAGCGACUGGGGUGAAGUCGUAACAAGGUA
rnacentral:rRNA from 1 species